GGGGAGAUGGCCGAGUGGUCUAAGGCGCUAGAUUUAGGCUCUAGUAUCGAAAGAUGCGCGAGUUCGAACCUCGCUCUCCUCA
rfam:Spizellomyces punctatus DAOM BR117 chromosome Tnknown supercont1.11, whole genome shotgun sequence.